UACGUAGGUGGCAAGCGUUAUCCGGAAUUACUGGGCGUAAAGCGCACGCAGGCGGUCUUUUAAGUUUGACGUGAAAGCUCCUGGCUUAACCGGGAGAGGUCGUUGAAGACUGGAAGGCUUGAGACGAUGAGAGGGGUGCAGAAUUCCCGGUGUAGUGGUGGAAUGCGUAGAUAUCGGGAGGAAUACCAGUGGCGAAGGCGGCACCCUGGCAUCGGUCUGACGCUCAUGUGCGAAGGCGUGGGGAGCGAACGGG
rnacentral:rRNA from 1 species